rnacentral:lncRNA from 1 species
CUACUAUACCUCCAUGCAGUCUGAACUACAUUCAGAGAUGACGAAUUCCGAUGCUUUUAGGAGGCGCUUUAUGCUGCGGUGCUGGGUGAGAUAGUAAGGGAAACCCAGAAUCCACUUCUUAAAAGUCUGUCAUCAAGCUGAAGGGAAGAUUUGGUGCUCUGUCUUCCUCCUCACUAUUUUGAGAUUACUGGCAAAAAUGUCUUGAUCCCAUUUAAUCCCUGAGCUGUGAAGUUGUUGUGUUUUUAAAAUGGUAAUGCCAUGUCUUACAACGACCUGGAAGAAUAUAAAAAUGCUCAUAAAAUCUCAGCAUUCACCUCUCCAGCGAUUUAUAUGUCAUCAUCGUUUUCUUGAUGGUCAGUUGCACUUCUUGCCUCCUAUACUGGCAUGAUGACUUAUCAUUGUUAUACAUUGCCCUGAGGGACAGGAAAUGAUCAGGUAAGUCCUAUUCAGUUCAGUUUUUAGGGCAUGCUAGUUAAAGGGAGCUCUUUCAAUAAUAGCA